CACGUAGGGUGCGAGCGUUGUCCGGAAUUAUUGGGCGUAAAGAGCUCGUAGGCGGUGUGUCGCGUCGGCCGUGAAAACCUGCAGCUUAACUGUGGGCUUGCGGUCGAUACGGGCAUCACUGGAGUUCGGCAGGGGAGACUGGAAUUCCUGGUGUAGCGGUGAAUGCGCAGAUAAUCAGGAGGAACACCGUGGCGAAGGCGGGUCUCUGGGCGAGUGAA
rnacentral:rRNA from 1 species